CGUCUGUUAGCUCAGUCGGCAGAGCGUGGUGCUAAUAACGCUAAGGUCGUGAGUUCGAUCCUCACACAGGCCA
rnacentral:tRNA from 1 species